rnacentral:rRNA from 1 species
AGCAGCCGCGGUAAUUCCAGCUCCAAUAGCGUAUAUUAAAGUUGUUGCAGUUAAAAAGCUCGUAGUUGAAUUUUGGAUUCUUCCAAUUGGUCCAUCUUUUAGAUGAGUACUGGUUGUGUGGGGUCUAUCCGCCUGGUAAUACGUAAUGUCCUUUAUUGGAUGUUGCGGGUAGUCAGGACCUUUACCUUGAAAAAAUUAGAGUGUUUAAAGCAGGCUUAUGCCGGAAUACAUUAGCAUGGAAUAAUAGAAUAGGACGAAGUUGUUUUAUUUUGUUGGUUUCUAGGACAACCGUAAUGAUUAAUAGGGAUAGUUGGGGGCAUUAGUAUUCAAUUGUCAGAGGUGAAAUUCUUGGAUUUAUUGAAGACUAACUACUGCGAAAAGCAUUUGCCAAGGAUGUUUUCAUUAAUCAAGAACGAAAGUUGGGGGAUCGAAGACGAUCAGAUACCGUCGUAGUCUUAACCAUAAACUAUGCCGACUAGGGAUCGGGCGAUGUUGUUUCCAUGACUCGCUCGGCACCUUAUGG